CAAUACAAAAAAACAGAAUUCACAUUUUUCAAUGCUAACUCACACUUCCGGUCACUUAAACACUCAAGUGACAUGCCGAAAACCUCUCGACAACCCCUCACAAAAUCUAUAAUAGUUUCAAUUACUAUUCUAACACUCGAACUUCGCAAUUUGCUAAAGUUCAGUGUACUACACUGGGUGUAUUUGGUUUGCACUAUCUUUUUAAAAUUUCCAGUAAUCCAAUAGAAAUUUUAAAAAAUAUGACGGUGUUAGACUAGACGAGUUAAAUAAUCUAGUUGUUAAAAAAUAUGAUUGUGUUAGAAAUUUAAAAAAAAUAUGACGGUGUUAGACUAGACGAAUUAAGUAAUAUAGUUGUUAAAGUUAAAUUUAUUUGUAAAUGAGAUUGAUCUCAAAAUACUAAUCUUAUUUCUUUGAAGGAUGGUGGAUAUUCUCAUAUUAAUAGAUUGGGAUAAUUCUAAUAUGUGUAAUCUAGCUCAUUCUUUUGCCGGAUCGUUGGCGCUAACUAUUAGUCCCAAAAGCUCGAGCUGUUAGAAAUACGCACGAAACCAAUUCACUUAAAUUGUACAGAUAUAGCAUCCACGGGUCUCGAUUGUGACUCGGCCCAACCAACCUCACACCACUUCGAACAUGACUUGACCCACCGAGCCUCAUGCCAUUCAAAUAUAACUCGGCCUAAUAUGGCCUCUCGCCACAGGGCGGGCAGGAUGCUAGCCCAUUUAAGUCAACAAUCAAUUCCCCCUCCAACACUUGGAGCAUGCGGGAAUUGAACCCGUGACCAUUGGCUCUGAUACCACUUGUCGGAUCGUUGGCGCUAACCAUUAAUCCUAAAAGCUCGAGCUAUUAGAAAUACGCAACCAAUUCACUUAAAGCGCAUAGAUACAGCACCCACGGGGUCUUGAUUGUGACUCAGCCCAACCAGCCUCACGCCACUUUGACACAUGACUCGGCCCACCCAGCCUCACGCCAUUUCGAAUAUAACUCGGCCUAACAUGGCCUCCCACUAUAAGGCAGAAUGCUGGCCCAUUUAAGGUAUAUUAGCUGGCUAUUUUAUUUAUUACUAUUUGAUUAUUAAUAUCUUAUCCAAUUUUUUUAAAAAGAUGUUGAAAUUUAUGAUUGCAUCAUCUGAAAUUAAUUAAUAAAAGAAAUACAUUAAUUGUAUAUUUUCAUAAUUUUAAAUAAUAUAACUGUAUGAACCAAUACCGAAAUGCCAUAUUUUUAGUAAUAGGAUGAGUAGAAAUAAAAGUUUUGAGCAUCGUUUUAUUUUUAAUAAACUUUCAUAUAU
rnacentral:lncRNA from 1 species